CCAGCAGGAUGCUCACAGGGGGCGGAGUCUUGCCCUGGGGUCAUUGCCAAGUUUACGCACUCAGGUCCUGGAGACCAGCCUCAGAUCAGACCUGAGCCCCUUCACCUGGGAUGUGGGGGUGUUCUAUGACCUAAAGCCAAGGCGCCCUCACUGAGCAUGUGCGAACAGAACAAUCAGUUGAAGUGUUUCAGAUCCUCUAAUGAGGAGGAGGUGACUUCAGGAUUAUUGUUAGUGAAGUGUCUCACUCCACUUCGUGAGUCUGGGGGCGUUAGCUGCUUCUAAGCGUGGACAGAAAGAAAACUUUUAUCAUGUGGGAAAGUUUUCCCGCGCGGGCCAUCAGGGAUCAGGCUGUGUCAGGAACUGAGCGCGCGCGUGCGCGGACAUUAAACGGGGGGAGGGGGGUGAAAUCAACCUCCUCCGGGUGUUCUACAGACGCGGAAGUCGGAAUGUAACGGAGCUGAAUCUGUGCCUAACUGGGUUUUUCCUCGAACCGGGUUCUGGUCCGGCUCUGACUGGACCUGCACCGGGGAGGAGAGUUAGUACUCACAGCCGUAUCUGGGUCGGGGCCCGUCGGCGUCCUCUGAAGUUGACAUCCUGUCGUUAGAAACGAGCUCCGCGCUCCGCUGUUCGCCUCGGUUCGGAAGAAACAGAGCAGCGGGGGUUCGGGGGGGUUCGGCACAGUCCGUCAGUGCGCUCUCCGGAGAUCCAGACUCGGGCCAGUUUUCGUGCUCUGCGGUCUGUGUCUCCCUUAGACCUGAUGGGUGUGUCCUCGGUACAAACUUCAGGAAACACGGAGCAUGCGCAGCAGCGCGCCCUGCUGUUCACAUCAACGACCUCAAAGACCGGUUUUCUGUUUAACAGAUAUGAAUCCGGCUGGAAUCACUCAGUUGGCUACCUGUCACAGAAGAAACCCUGGGUUCUAUUCCCAACGAGCCAAAAUCCAGUGUUGGUGCCUCAGGUAAGGCUGUCAUGCUGCUGCCUAUGUGGCUUCUUCCUGUGCCAUGAAAAUACUCUGUUGUAUCAGGAGGCCAUCUAUGCCAACCCCCCCCAGGUGGCAUGCUGAAAGAUGAACAAUUACAGGUAUAUACGUUGCUGAUAUAUUGAAAUAUAUUUGAUGUGUUUUCCAGUAUACUACGAUAUAUUUUUCUUUUGUAAAGGUUUUGUUUUGUUAAAGUGUGCUUACGUGUGCCAUGCAUCACUGUUGGUCAGAAUGCGAUUGCUGUGCGGUGAAUGUAUUUUUGCUGCAUGUGUGCAGUAGUCUUAACCUCUCUACUUCUUCAGACUACAGACAAUGCACGAUGGAGCAACGGCCUGUGGAAAUUAUUGUUUAUCGCAUAAUAAAACUUUGUAACCUGGA